rnacentral:rRNA from 1 species
ACUGAGACACGGUCCAGACUCCUACGGGAGGCAGCAGUGGGGAAUCUUGCGCAAUGGGCGAAAGCCUGACGCAGCGACGCCGCGUGGGGGAUGAAGCUUCUCGGAGUGUAAACCCCUUUCGACUGGGACGAAUGCCUCGCAAGAGGAGUGACGGUACCAGUAGAAGAAGCCCCGGCUAACUACGUGCCAGCAGCCGCGGUAAGACGUAGGGGGCCAGCGUUGCUCGGAAUUACUGGGUGUAAAGGGUUCGUAGGCGGUGUAGCAAGUCGGGAGUGAAAUCUCUGGGCUCAACCCAGAGACUGCUUCCGAAACUGCUGUGCUUGAGUGUGGGAGAGGCGCGUGGAAUUGCAGGUGUAGCGGUGAAAUGCGUAGAUAUCUGCAGGAACACCCGUGGCGAAAGCGGCGCGCUGGACCACUACUGACGCUGAGGAACGAAAGCUAGGGGAGCAAACAGGAUUAGAUACCCUGGUAGUCCUAGCCCUAAACGAUCAGGACUUGGGGUGCCGCACGUUCGUGCGUCGUCCCGGAGCUAACGCGUUAAGUCCUGCACCUGGGGAGUACGGUCGCAAGACUG